GUGUUUUUAUGUAUCACACAAAACGACAUUAGGAUAUCAGCCUUGUUAAAUCGAUGAGGGUAAAGUUGAAUAGUGAAAGCCAAUGCAUAUCGUGAUUAAACGUUAUCUCGAUAAAAAAAUAGAAUCGCCAUUUCUCACGCUAUGCUCCUUCGUUUUCGAUCAAUUACAAUCAUUCCCUAAGUUUCGUGCUAUUUGUCCUGGACGUCGAAAGAAAAAACAAAAGGCGAACGCCCGACUUUGUGAAAUCGUAAGGUGAAUACGUACAAGGUACGAACCGAUAAAGCAUAGUAUAAGAUUACUAACCGUAUCUGCUGCAGUGAGGUUUAUUCCCAGGCCUCCGGCUCGAGUACUCAGCAGAAAGACGAAUAUGUCCGCCCUGAAACACGAAACAGUCCAUGUAGAUCGAACAGUCGAGUACGAUACGUUUUGCAUGUAAAUUAAUUCGGUACGCUGGUGGUGCACUUAGAGGAUUUCCAGUAUAAAAUAUAUAAGCUGAAUAUAUUUUAUCGCUUUCAAGAUUUCCAUGAUCCGAUUGUAAUUUUGAUAAUCGAAAACAUAGAUAAUGACAUGGCUAAAAUGGCAUUCAUGGCGGACAGCCAAAGCUGCAGCUGUCUACGAGACAGGACCGAUUCGCCAAUUAAUUCGCGUGUUAGUUAUGCGCGAGUGAACAAAGGAAUGACAUGCUAAGAGGCAGCGCCUUAUACAUGCAACAUGAUGCGUAGUUGAUAUAUAUUUUAAGCAGCACUAAGAAAAAAUUCAUUCGGUUUAUUAAUGAUAUAUUCUCAUUAAAUUAAUAGACGAAGCUCGUUUCGAUCAAUAGAUAUUACAACUUUUAACCGGCAUAAAAUUAUAUACGAAAUAUUUACGAAUUUGCAUAAAAUAAUCUAAAAUUCUAUGUUAUCCAAAAAUUAAGAAAGAAAUAUAACAGUUACCUUUUUUGAAAGUCUGCAACCAUAUCUCGUCGAUCUGAGAUUUUAGAAGAACCGUCUAAUCUCAUAAAAGUAUGUUUCCUAUGAUACAUGUACUCCUACAAUGAGGACGUGAUAUAAAAUCUUAUAAUGACUAUUUCUUCGAAGAUACAGAUUAAGUAAAAAUACCUCUAACAAAUCGAUCAUUUUUGUCAUUUGAGAGUAAAUAAGGACUCGAUGACCUUGUUCUUUAAGACGACGUAGGAGACUAUCCAAAACGGAAAGUUUUCCAGCAUCUGUUACUAAAGUUUGCUUAUCUAUAACAAUAUUAAAAAUAAAAAGAAUGUUGCAUUAAAAUGCAUAUGAAAAAUCAUCUACUACAAACCAAAAAAAGUUCUUACCCGGUACUAUAAUAUUUGACCAUCCAUUUAUAGGAGUACAUGCAGAAAUUCCACCAUGCGGUUCUACAGAAAAUGUUGACGUCAUCUGCGUUAAACGAAAAUUCGAGUUCUCUUGUGA